rnacentral:rRNA from 1 species
UACGGGGGGGAGCAAGCGUUGUUCGGAUUUACUGGGCGUAAAGGGCGCGUAGGCGGCCACCGCAAGUCAGUUGUGAAAUCUCUGGGCUUAACCCAGAACGGUCAGCUGAUACUGCGGGGCUAGAGUGCAGAAGGGGCAACUGGAAUUCUCGGUGUAGCGGUGAAAUGCGUAGAUAUCGAGAGGAACACCUGCGGCGAAGGCGGGGUUGCUGGGCUGACACUGACGCUGACAGCGCGAAAGCUAGGGGAGCGAACGGG